rnacentral:rRNA from 1 species
CCUACGGGAGGCAGCAGUAGGGAAUUUUCCACAAUGGGCGAAAGCCUGAUGGAGCAAUACCGCGUGCAGGAUGAAGGCCUUCGGGUUGUAAACUGCUUUUAUGUGCGAAGAAUUUGACGGUAACACAUGAAUAAGGAUCGGCUAACUACGUGCCAGCAGCCGCGGUCAUACGUAGGAUCCAAGCGUUAUCCGGAAUUACUGGGCGUAAAGAGUUGCGUAGGUGGCAUUAUAAGUGGAGCGUGAAAGCGUGCGGCUCAACCGCAUUAUUGCGUUCCAAACUGUGAAGCUUGAGUAUGGGAGAGGUAGAUGGGAAUUUCUAGUGUAGGAGUGAAAUCCGUAGAUAUUAGAAGGAACACCGAUGGCGUAGGCAGUCUACUGGCCCAUUACUGACACUAAGGCACGAAAGCGUGGGGAGCAAACGGGAUUAGGAUACCCCGGUAGUCCACGCUGUAAACCUAUGGACGCUAGCUGUGACACACAUCGACCUGUGUCGUAGCGAAGUUAACGCGUUAAGCAUCCCGCUGGGGAUCGGUCGCAGNUUAAAACUCAAAGGAUUGACGGCUGNGAGNGCGAGCGACGACGAGGAGAGG